GAUGAACGCUGGCGGCGUGCCUAAUACAUGCAAGUCGAGCGAACGGACGAGAAGCUUGCUUCUCUGAUGUUAGCGGCGGACGGGUGAGUAACACGCGGAUAACCUACCUAUAAGACUGGGAUAACUUCGGGAAACCGGAGCUAAUACCGGAUAAUAUUUUGAACCGCAUGGUUCAAAAGUGAAAGACGGUCUUGCUGUCACUUAUAGAUGGAUCCGCGCUGCAUUAGCUAGUUGGUAAGGUAACGGCUUACCAAGGCAACGAUGCAUAGCCGACCUGAGAGGGUGAUCGGCCACACUGGAACUGAGACACGGUCCAGACUCCUACGGGAGGCAGCAGUAGGGAAUCUUCCGCAAUGGGCGAAAGCCUGACGGAGCAACGCCGCGUGAGUGAUGAAGGUCUUCGGAUCGUAAAACUCUGUUAUUAGGGAAGAACAUAUGUGUAAGUAACUGUGCACAUCUUGACGGUACCUAAUCAGAAAGCCACGGCUAACUACGUGCCAGCAGCCGCGGUAAUACGUAGGUGGCAAGCGUUAUCCGGAAUUAUUGGGCGUAAAGCGCGCGUAGGCGGUUUUUUAAGUCUGAUGUGAAAGCCCACGGCUCAACCGUGGAGGGUCAUUGGAAACUGGAAAACUUGAGUGCAGAAGAGGAAAGUGGAAUUCCAUGUGUAGCGGUGAAAUGCGCAGAGAUAUGGAGGAACACCAGUGGCGAAGGCGACUUUCUGGUCUGUAACUGACGCUGAUGUGCGAAAGCGUGGGGAUCAAACAGGAUUAGAUACCCUGGUAGUCCACGCCGUAAACGAUGAGUGCUAAGUGUUAGGGGGUUUCCGCCCCUUAGUGCUGCAGCUAACGCAUUAAGCACUCCGCCUGGGGAGUACGACCGCAAGGUUGAAACUCAAAGGAAUUGACGGGGACCCGCACAAGCGGUGGAGCAUGUGGUUUAAUUCGAAGCAACGCGAAGAACCUUACCAAAUCUUGACAUCCUUUGACAACUCUAGAGAUAGAGCCUUCCCCUUCGGGGGACAAAGUGACAGGUGGUGCAUGGUUGUCGUCAGCUCGUGUCGUGAGAUGUUGGGUUAAGUCCCGCAACGAGCGCAACCCUUAAGCUUAGUUGCCAUCAUUAAGUUGGGCACUCUAAGUUGACUGCCGGUGACAAACCGGAGGAAGGUGGGGAUGACGUCAAAUCAUCAUGCCCCUUAUGAUUUGGGCUACACACGUGCUACAAUGGACAAUACAAAGGGCAGCGAAACCGCGAGGUCAAGCAAAUCCCAUAAAGUUGUUCUCAGUUCGGAUUGUAGUCUGCAACUCGACUACAUGAAGCUGGAAUCGCUAGUGAUCGUAGAUCAGCAUGCUACGGUGAAUACGUUCCCGGGUCU
rnacentral:rRNA from 1 species